CUCUAGUUCAGCAGUAAUGUCGUCGUUAGCACCCAAGGCCCAAACGAGGAAGCAGAGUCAUGCAUGAGAGUCAACUGUCAGGAAACAGUGAGCUGCAGCCCAAGGACAGGCCAGCGGGGGCUGUCGCCAGGGAGGAAGUGCAGUCCACAUGCCGUCUCUAUCCAAGCUCCAGCUCCCUCUGCCAUUCUCCUGCCUCAGAACAGGGAAAAGGUGCUCUGAAGCUGCGCUCCCUUCCACUCAGCCAGAGAAGACCAGCAGACCAGGGGCCAGAGGCAGAGAAAUGCAUGCAAGUGGCUCCUCCCUGCAAAUCAGAACAUCUGACCCUGGCCCAGCACCGGACUCCUGUCCUGGAUGUGGUCUCAACAGCACAGCCUUGGAGCAAACCCAGGGAGCUCGAAUGAGUGACGGUCCUGGUGUGGGUUCAGCCAUAACCUCCAGGACAGAUGAGAGCAGGCACUUCUAAAGGGUGGCCCUUCCGAGAGGGAAAGGCCUGGAGCCUUACGCUGGAGCAUGCUCACUCUGGGGGUCUAGCGCCGAGUCCCGGGUCCUGAGGGACACACUGUGAGCCUGGAGUUGGUGACGGCUGGGGACAUACUGUGAGCCUGGAGCUGAUGACAGCUGGAACCGGACGGUGCACUGUGAGCCUGGAGCUGGUGACGGCUGGGGACAUACUGUGAGCCUGGAGCUGGUGGCUGCUGGAGACAUACUGUGAGCCUGGAGCUGGUGACGGCUGGAACCAGACAUUGCACUGUGAGCCUGCAGCUGGUGACAGCUGGGGACAUACUGUGAGCCUGGACCUGGUGACGGCUGGAACCGGACGGUGCACUGUGAACCUGGAGCUGAUGACAGCUGGGGACAUACUGUGAGCCUGGAGCUGGUGACGGCUGGGGACAUACGGCCAAAAUGCCAGCAAAGCAAGCAUUAUUCCACCCGGUUACCUGCCCACAUCUGCACCAGACACUGCCACCG
rnacentral:lncRNA from 1 species